CCCUUCGUCCUUAUAGCAGCCUGAAGGCACCCAAGCCCGGAAGCUAAUCAGGGGUGGACUUGGCUGGGUAUUGAAUAGGGGACCGCAUGGGAAGACUAGGGCCUGGAGGCU
ensembl:rRNA 5S_rRNA 5S ribosomal RNA